rnacentral:rRNA from 1 species
CCCCUAGAUGUUCUGGGACGCACGCGCGCUACACUGAACAGUUCAACAAGUCUUAACCUUGGCCGAUAGGUCUGGGUAAUCUUUGAACGCUGUUCGUGAUUGGGAUAGACCUUUGCAAUUAUGGGUCUUCAACGAGGAAUUCCUAGUAAACGCAAGUCAUCAGCUUGCAUUGAUUACGUCCCUGCCCUUUGUACACACCGCCCGUCGCACCUACCGAUUGAAUGGUCCGGUGAAAUCUCGGGACGGCGGCUUGGUCGCUUGCGUCCGACUGCUGAAACUUGAUUAAACCAUAUCAUUUAGAGGAAGGUGAAGUCGUANCA